AGAUGAAGCAGGGCGAGACGUCUGGACUUGCCCCCAAGAAGCGAACAAGUCUUGGAUAGAACGCACAAUCCUGUCAGCAUCCUGCGAAGAAGGUCGCCAAUAUUAAAGAUUCUCACUACAACGAACGAGAUAAGAAAAGAAGGGGAGCAAAGAUUACCUCAUCAACAAUAGUGGAAGAUGGCACGCCCUCAGCCAAGCUUGCCACCAACGACUCCUCCAUUCGCGAGGACUUCCCGUUGUCUGAGCGAGAAGAUGUUGCCACAACGGGCGGACUCAUAGGAGUAUCUGCAGAACUCAAGAGCAACAAAUUAGAAGCCAGCAGCACAAGCAAAGGUAAGACAUCAAAAGACUGAAUUACCUUCUGCUUCAAUGUUUGGGGGGUUGAUGUCCUGGUAAGAAAAUGGCUCAUCCAUGGGUUGUGAUGAGGACUCUGAGACUGGAGAUGUCUCUUUAAGAGUAGCCCCUUCAUCAACCGGUUUGGAUGAAGUAGCCUCAGCAGAGGAUAAUGGAAUAGGAGUUGUUGAUGCCAAAACCUUUGAAGGAGAGGCUGAGCUUUUUUGAGAAGUCCAAAAAAUCAUCAGCAUACAGAAAAGUUUCAAAUGUAGAAAAGUAUACUUGUAAGUAGACCAAUUUAAUUACCUUCCUCCUGAUGAUAAGAGGGGCAUCAUCGUCAUCAUCAACAUCAUCCUCCAGAAUGAGAGAUGCUGAGGCUGGCCGUUUGCGGCUUGGGGCACUCUUGGCCGUAGUAGGCUUGGCAGGGAGAGAAGAAGAUGGACGAGCAGAAUGUUUAGUGCGACGAGAAGGAGAAGGACUCCGAAUGGACAAGGGAGUGACUAAAACAGGAGGAGGGGAAGAAAUGCUCGGUUGGUCUAAUAAAUGAAAGGCACGAUUGACGUCAGUCGCAAAUAAU
rnacentral:lncRNA from 1 species